rnacentral:rRNA from 1 species
AUAUCAAUAAGCGGAGGAAAAGAAACCAACAGGGAUUGCCCCAGUAACGGCGAGUGAAGCGGCAACAGCUCAAAUUUGAAAUCUGGCCCUCGGGUCCGAGUUGUAAUUUGUAGAGGAUGCUUUUGGCGCGGUGCCUUCUGAGUUCCCUGGAAUGGGACGCCAGAGAGGGUGAGAGCCCCGUAUAGUCGGACACCAAGCCUUUGUAAAGCUCCUUCGACGAGUCGAGUAGUUUGGGAAUGCUGCUCAAAAUGGGAGGUAAAUUUCUUCUAAAGCUAAAUACCGGCCAGAGACCGAUAGCGCACAAGUAGAGUGAUCGAAAGAUGAAAAGCACUUUGAAAAGAGGGUUAAACAGCACGUGAAAUUGUUGAAAGGGAAGCGCUCAUGACCAGACUUGUGCCCGGCGGAUCAUCCAGCGUUCUCGCUGGUGCACUCCGCCGGGCUCAGGCCAGCAUCGGUUCCGGUGGGGGGAUAAAAGUCGUGGGAAUGUGACUCCUCCGGGAGUGUUAUAGCCUGCUUCAUAAUACCCUCGCCGAGACCGAGGUACGCGCUCCGCAAGGAUGCUGGCGUAAUGGUUAUCAGCGACCCGUCUUGAAACACGGACCAAGGAGUGAAUGUCUUCAGCGAGUGUUUGGGUGU